GUGGUUGAUGCCAUGCUUCCAAGAAAAGCUUCUAAGCUUCAGGUAACCAGGAACCGUACCCCAAACCGACACAGGUGGUCGGGUAGAGAAUACCAAGGCGCUUGAGAGAACUCGGGUGAAGGAACUAGGCAAAAUGGCACCGUAACUUCGGGAGAAGGUGCGCCGGCUAGGGUGAAGGAUUUACUCCGUAAGCUCUGGCUGGUCGAAGAUACCAGGCCGCUGCGACUGUUUAUUAAAAACACAGCACUCUGCAAACACGAAAGUGGACGUAUAGGGUGUGACGCCUGCCCGGUGCCGGAAGGUUAAUUGAUGGGGUUAGCGCAAGCGAAGCUCUUGAUCGAAGCCCCGGUAAACGGCGGCCGUAACAAUAACGGUCCUAAGGUAGCGAAAUUCCUUGUCGGGUAAGUUCCGACCUGCACGAAUGGCGUAACGAUGGCGGCGCUGUCUCCACCCGAGACUCAGUGAAAUUGAAAUCGCUGUGAAGAUGCAGUGUAUCCGCGGCUAGACGGAAAGACCCCGUGAACCUUUACUGUAGCUUUGCACUGGACUUUGAGCCUGCUUGUGUAGGAUAGGUGGGAGGCUUUGAAGCGUGGACGCCAGUUCGCGUGGAGCCAUCCUUGAAAUACCACCCUGGCAUGCUUGAGGUUCUAACUCUGGUCCGUAAUCCGGAUCGAGGACAGUGUAUGGUGGGCAGUUUGACUGGGGCGGUCUCCUCCUAAAGAGUAACGGAGGAGUACGAAGGUGCGCUCAGACCGGUCGGAAAUCGGUCGCAGAGUAUAAAGGCAAAAGCGCGCUUGACUGCGAGACAGACACGUCGAGCAGGUACGAAAGUAGGUCUUAGUGAUCCGGUGGUUCUGUAUGGAAGGGCCAUCGCUCAACGGAUAAAAGGUACUCCGGGGAUAACAGGCUGAUACCGCCCAAGAGUUCAUAUCGACGGCGGUGUUUGGCACCUCGAUGUCGGCUCAUCACAUCCUGGGGCUGAAGCCGGUCCCAAGGGUACGGCUGUUCGCCAUUUAAAGUGGUACGCGAGCUGGGUUUAGAACGUCGUGAGACAGUUCGGUCCCUAUCUGCCGUGGACGUUUGAGAUUUGAGAGGGGCUGCUCCUAGUACGAGAGGACCGGAGUGGACGAACCUCUGGUGUUCCGGUUGUCACGCCAGUGGCAUUGCCGGGUAGCUAUGUUCGGAAAAGAUAACCGCUGAAAGCAUCUAAGCGGGAAACUUGCCUCAAGAUGAGAUCUCACUGGGAACUUGAUUCCCCUGAAGGGCCGUCGAAGACUACGACGUUGAUAGGCUGGGUGUGUAAGCGUUGUGAGGCGUUGAGCUAACCAGUACUAAUUGCCCGUGAGGCUUGACC
rnacentral:rRNA from 1 species